ACGUAGGAGGUGAGCGUUAUCCGGAUUCACUGGGCGUAAAGCGCGUGCAGGCGGUUCGGUAAGUUGGGCGUGAAAUCUCCCGGCUCAACUGGGAGAGGGCAUUCAAUACUACCGGACUUGAGAGCGAUAGAGGAAAAUGGAAUUCCCGGUGUAGUGGUGAAAUGCGUAGAGAUCCGGAGGAACCCCAGUGGCGAAGGCGACCUGCUCGGCCUUGCCUGACGCUCAGACGCGAAAGCGUGGGGAGCGAACGG
rnacentral:rRNA from 1 species